rnacentral:rRNA from 1 species
GAUGAACGCUGGCGGCGUGCCUAAUACAUGCAAGUCGAGCGAACAGAUGAGGAGCUUGCUCCUCUGACGUUAGCGGCGGGCGGGUGGGUAACACGUGGAUAACCUACCUAUAAGACUGGGAUAACUUCGGGAAACCGGAGCUAAUACCGGAUAAUAUAUUGAACCGCAUGGUUCAAUAGUGAAAGACGGUUUUGCUGUCACUUAUAGAUGGAUCCGCGCCGCAUUAGCUAGUUGGUAAGGUAACGGCUUACCAAGGCAACGAUGCGUAGCCGACCUGAGAGGGUGAUCGGCCACACUGGAACUGAGACACGGUCCAGACUCCUACGGGAGGCAGCAGUAGGGAAUCUUCCGCAAUGGGCGAAAGCCUGACGGAGCAACGCCGCGUGAGUGAUGAAGGUCUUCGGAUCGUAAAACUCUGUUAUUAGGGAAGAACAAAUGUGUAAGUAACUAUGCACGUCUUGACGGUACCUAAUCAGAAAGCCACGGCUAACUACGUG